rnacentral:tRNA from 1 species
GAGGGGAUAGCUCAGUGGUAGAGUGCCUACCUAGCAUGCACAAGGUCCUGGGUUCAAUCCCCUGUACCCCCA